AAAGGUUUGAGGGAUGAAAGAAAAAAACAAUUUUUUUUUUGCUGCCGAUGUAGCGACGGAGGAAUCUGUCACAGCAACAGCAACGAUAGUAGUAUUCCAUCGUAUUUUAUCCCAUACCAUCAUCAUAUCUCGUCCAUUGUAGCUAGUAAUAACACAAUGAUCCUAUAUGAUUUGAAUCAAUACUGAGUGUGCUAGAUAUACACUUAUACUUUUUGCUUCACUCUUAAAUUCUCACUUCUCUUAAAUGUUCACUUCUCUUAAAUUCUCACUUCACUCUUAUACUCUCACUACUGUAGUUUUUACUACUACAGUAUUGAUUACUACUACCAAAUAAGGGGUAUUUUCUUCCUACUGUAGCAUAGUCUAUUCUACUCUACGCUUCACUGCACUGCACUGCAAUGUAUUACACAAGCAAAAUCAUUUAACAGUCCAUUUCUCUGUAUACGCUACAAUGCCUUAUGAAUGUUUAACAUUUGACCAAGAGACUGUGUUUCACAGCACUUGGGGUUCCCCCACUUGACGCCUUGGGCUAAACACUGGGGGGGAGAGAAGGAGGGGGUUUGCAUAGGGAAGAGGAAAAGACGGUUAUGUUAUUGCUUGAUUAAGGAAUUUCUUGUUUUAUGGUUUCCUUAGUAAAUGCCGCCAUUCGGUGACCUCCACCUUUGGUGUCGAGGUUGAGUUUUCUAGAUAAAUAAACAAGGAUGCUACGCUCGUCAUCGCCGCUCAUAUCGACCCUUUUCAACAAGUUCUGGCUUGGACGAGUUUGUCCAGUUUAGGGACUCUCCGCAGCUUAAUAAAUUUGACUCCCGGAGGAAUCAGAAGAUGACGUUGACAAGAAAAAGCGGACACAUUAGGGCUAAAAAAGCCAAAUCGCCAAAAGUCUCGAAUGGGGAUGCGUUGCGAUGCGAUAAAUGAGAAUUACGAGUCGCAGUACAAGCACGGUCGAGAGAGAGAGAGAGAAAAAAUGCAGUAGGAGGAAAUAGAGAGACGAGAUAAAGCGACAAUAUAAAAUUCAAAUAAAAAGACUUCGAAAAUGGAUUCAAGAUUGUAAAAUAUGCACAAUCAUCAAAAUAAUUACCCA